AUUAUUUAUUCUCCUUGAAAUGAGGUCUCUCUGUGGAAAGUACACGUUUCUAAGCUGCCAUGUGGGACACCAAGAGUCAUUCUUUUAAUAAAUCAGAAUUAUUUCUAAUUUGUUCAUAUUCACCCCCACCACCCCCCAGGGUACAUCAGAAGCAAGCAUGAGGGGAAACCAGGCUGAAGCUACAGCUGCUGCUUUGAUGUGCUGCCUCAUGACAACAUAGUUAUGUCAGAUCUGAUGUCAUGAGGCAGUUUUGUUCUUCCAUGUGAGUGGGAACAGAGUGGAACAGACAGAUUUCAACCUUCACAAUGGCCUCCUGCUCAGCACCACUGCAAUUUUCAUUAAGUCUCUUUACUGCAAAGGAGAAGAGAUUGGCCCCUCGUUUUCAUCUUCACAUGGACUUGGUUCUCCUCUGCUUCACCAUGAGCUGAGUCACAGAGCUGGACAUUCUUCAGUGUGCAUGUUAUUGUGACUGAAGAAUGACAGACACGUUUGGCCAAGCAACCUAAAUGUAAAAACCACACUUUUACAACACACAGUUGUAAUCUGGCAAUCUGAGUCUCUGUAACUUGUUGGCCAGAUGGGAGUGAGACAGGAAGAGCAGCACUUGCAGAACAGCAGUCACCCAGGCCUGUGCCAGAAGGAGAGAGCUACUAGGGCAUGAACUCUCAAAGUUACACACCCAGAGUGCUCUGGAUGUGGUCCAGAGCCAGAAGAAAUUUUCUGCCAAUAGCACUUUGGCCUUCACAAGACACAUUUCCCAAAAACCUUGGACUAAAUGGAAAGGAAAAACAUUUUGUCUGCUGUAUGAAAACUUUACCCUCCAGAAUUAGGGGGAAAUAUAGGAAAGCUAAACAAGAUAUAUUCAGCUUCCCUGGUAUGUUAAUCUGAAGACAGAGAAGAGAAACAAAAUCAGAUGCAAGACCUGAGAAACUGAAUUCAAGGUCAAUUGCAGAUCAAGAAGUAGUUUUCCUGCAGAGGAGCCAACAGCAGAUGAAAUCUGUAAUGGAAACAGAGAGAGAGCUGGGGACAGACCGCAUAAAUAUGUGCAGUUUUCAAGGAAACAGGUGUCCAUUUAUUGUAGAACAUAAAGGUUUCUCCAUGUCACUGCAUAUGGCUAUGUCUGCAGCACCAAAAAUACCACUUUAUCCAGAUUUUUUCAGAUGCAUUUGAUCCCGGAUUCUCAAGCAGAUCAAGCCUGCCCAGACGUGAAGUUCAUCCAAAAGUAUAGAAGAUCUGAAUCUGGGGAUCUGCACUACCUGAGCAGUGGCAGAGGACUAAUCAGUUUGCAGUGUAAUACUCCAGAAUGCUUUACUGUUUCAUUCCCUGGUGGCACAAUUCUGUUUCCAAAUGUACCAAGAGUUUGAUGGGAAUGCCAGUUACAUUUCUGAGGAAUAAUGGUGAGUGUCAUCUGGCUGGUGAGGAUAAAGUCUGAAGUAACUGACAAUCUCCAUAAUCUGAAAUUCACUAAAUGUGGCACUGGAUCAGGACUACUGUUCAUACUUAUUCUGCUCACAUAUUUAUUUUGUAUUUUUA